rnacentral:tRNA from 1 species
GCGCCUGUAGCUCAGGGGAUAGAGCAACGGAUUCCUAAUCCGUGUGUCGUAGGUUCGAUUCCUACCAGGCGCACCA